UGAAGGCAUGAGUUUGGCAGCAUUGCUGGGUUUGAGAAAGCGAUGUGGAGCCUUUGAUUGUUAGGCAUGAGUCCUGAUUGCUGAUGGCGAGUGAUGAGGCUGUGGUGCACUGAGUAGCAUAAGAGGUCUGUGCUGCGAAGGAAACUAGAAGACACUGUACUGAACCCAGAGGUGAGUGGAGAGGCUAAAAAUCUUACGGUACGUGGAGCAGGGGAGAGCGCGACACUAACUCCAGUCCCUGCUCGAAUCCGAGAGAUAGUUACCAAGAAUCUAACUGAGGAAAGAAUGGAUGUAAACUCUCGACCUUUACUAUGACUAUCACGACGGAUGAGUCGUAUGGGUCAAUUCUACCAAAGAGAGGCAUUGCUGAGUUCGUGGUGACUUCAUCUGAUUCUGACACUUCCACAUCCUCCAUGUUCUUCAGUCUUUAUGGUACACACUACUUGCUGUGCGUGGUGGUGGUAGAAUUGGUUGAAACCUGGCCAUGAUGUGAAUGCUUCUACUUUGGCUCCAAGCGGAUAUACAACCAGCCCGACAACUUGUAAAUGUGGAACUGAGCCACAGACUAUGCAACAUCUCCUGCAAUGUCUAUCACUAGAGGAACCCUGCACUGUUGCAGAUCUUGCCGAAUUUAACAACAAGGCGCAAAAGUGUGUCCAGUUCUGGCUGGGCCACAUAUAGACAGUCUGUGGACACGAUAAGAAGUCUUUAUGGUUGAACU